CGCACAUUGCGCCCCUUGGUAUUCCGGGGGGCAUGCCUGUUCGAGCGUCAUUACAACCCUCAAGCUCUGCUUGGAAUUGGGCACCGUCCUCACUGCGGACGCGCCUCAAAGACCUCGGCGGUGGCUGUUCAGCCCUCAAGCGUAGUAGAAUACACCUCGCUUUGGAGCGGUUGGCGUCGCCCGCCGGACGAACCUUCUGAACUUUUCUCAAGGUUGACCUCGGAUCAGGUAGGGAUACCCGCUGAACUUAA
rnacentral:misc_RNA from 1 species